rnacentral:misc_RNA from 1 species
GAACGCACAUUGCGCUCAAUGGUAUUCCAUUGGGCAUACCUGUUUGAGUAUCAGAAUCCUUUUAAUUAUCAAACUUUUAUGUAUAGAGAUGUAUGUAAAGAUGUUUGGAUAUAAAAUUGAGAAAAGUAGGUAUUAUUUAUAAUACUACUUUCUUAAAAACCAGAAAUAUUAUGUUUUGAUUUUUCUUCAAUCUCAUUUUGUAUAUUAUUUAACAAAUGAGUACGAGUAAAAAUAACAAUACUUUGGAUGACCUCAAAUCAGGUAGGGAUACCCGCUGAACUUA